rnacentral:rRNA from 1 species
CCUACGGGUGGCAGCAGUGGGGGAUAUUGCACAAUGGGGGAAACCCUGAUGCAGCGACGCCGCGUGGGUGAAGAAGUAUUUCGGUAUGUAAAGCCCUAUCAGCAGGGAAGAAAGAAGACGGUACCUGACUAAGAAGCCACGGCUAACUACGUGCCAGCAGCCGCGGUAAUACGUAGGGGGCGAGCGUUAUCCGGAUUCACUGGGUGUAAAGGGAGCGUAGACGGCCGUGCAAGCCAGGAGUGAAAGCCCGGGGCCCAACCCCGGGACUGCUCUUGGAACUGUGCGGCUGGAGUGCGGGAGGGGCAGGCGGAAUUGCUGGUGUAGCGGUGAAAUGCGUAGAUAUCAGGAGGAACACCGGCGGCGAAGGCGGCCUGCUGGACCGCGACUGACGUUGAGGCUCGAAAGCGUGGGGAGCGAACAGGAUUAGAUACCCCUGUAGUC